AUUGAACGCUGGCGGAAUGCUUUACACAUGCAAGUCGAACGGCAGCACGGGGGCAGCCCUGGUGGCUAGUGGAGAACGGGUGAGUAAUACAUCGGAACGUCCCCGGUCGGGGGGGAUGACGUAGCGAAAGUUACGCUACUACCGCAGACGAGCGGAGGAUGAAAGCGGGGGACCUUCGGGCCUCGCGCGAGCGGAGCGGCCGAUGUCAGAUUAGGUAGUUGGUGGGGUAAAGGCCUACCAAGCCGACGAUCUGUAGCUGGUCUGAGAGGACGACCAGCCACACUGGGACUGAGACACGGCCCAGACUCCUACGGGAGGCAGCAGUGGGGAAUUUUGGACAAUGGGCGCAAGCCUGAUCCAGCCAUUCCGCGUGCAGGACGAAGGCCUUCGGGUUGUAAACUGCUUUUGUACGGAACGAAAAGGCUCUGGCUAAUACCUGGGGCUCAUGACGGUACCGUAAGAAUAAGCACCGGCUAACUACGUG
rnacentral:rRNA from 1 species